CCCUUAGAUGUCCUGGGCUGCACGCGCGCUACACUGAUGUGUCCAGUAAGCACCUAACCUCUUCCGAAAGGAACGGGUAACCUUUGCAAAGCACAUCGUGAUGGGGAUAGAUUAUUGCAAUUAUUAGUCUUGAACGAGGAAUUCCUAGUAAGCACAAGUCAUCAGCUUGUGUUGAUUACGUCCCUGCCCUUUGUACACACCGCCCGUCGCUCCUACCGAUUGAAUGAUCCGGUGAAUAAUUCGGACUGCAGCAGUGUUCAGUUCCUGAACGUUGCAGCGGAAAGUUUAGUGAACCUUAUCACUUAGAGGAAGGAGAAGUCGUAACA
rnacentral:rRNA from 1 species